GUGCUCGCAUCAGCAGCACAUAUACUAAAAUUGGAACAAUACCGAGAUUAGCAUGGCCCCUGCGCAAAGCAUAGUAUUUAUUUAAAGACAAAUUUGAAAUGCCC